GACGAGCGCUGGCGGCGCGCCUAACACAUGCAAGUCGAACGAGCGAGAGAGAGCUUGCUUUCUCGAGCGAGUGGCGAACGGGUGAGUAACGCGUGAGGAACCUGCCUCAAAGAGGGGGACAACAGUUGGAAACGACUGCUAAUACCGCAUAAGCCCACGGGUCGGCAUCGACCAGAGGGAAAAGGAGCAAUCCGCUUUGAGAUGGCCUCGCGUCCGAUUAGCUAGUUGGUGAGGUAACGGCCCACCAAGGCGACGAUCGGUAGCCGGACUGAGAGUUGAACGGCCACAUUUGGGACUGAGACACGGCCCAGACUCCUACGGGAGGCAGCAGUGGGGAAUAUUGCACAAUGGGGGGAAACCCUGAUGCAGCGACGCCGCGUGGAGGAAGAAGGUCUUCGGAUUGUAAACUCCUGUUGUU
rnacentral:rRNA from 1 species